CAGCCGCCGCGGGAAUACGUAGGGUGCGAGCGUUAAUCGGAAUUACUGGGCGUAAAGCGUGCGCAGGCGGUUUUGUAAGACAGGCGUGAAAUCCCCGGGCUCAACCUGGGAAUGGCGCUUGUGACUGCAAAGCUAGAGUGCGGCAGAGGGGGAUGGAAUUCCGCGAGUAGCAGUGAAAUGCGUAGAUAUGCGGAGGAACACUGAUGGCGAAGGCAAUCCCCUGGGCCUGCACUGACGCUCAUGCACGAAAGCGUGGGGAGCAAACAGGAUUAGAUACCCCUGUAGUCCCUGUCUCUUAUAC
rnacentral:rRNA from 1 species